UUCUGGAGUGUUGGCUAUUCCUGCCAGCUUGGUGUCGUCUGCAAAUUUGAUGAGUUCCCCAUCUAUCCCCUCGUCCAAAUCGUUGAUGAAGAUGUUGAAGAGCACUGGGCCCAGAAUAGAGCCCUAGGGCACUCCACUAUACAAUUCCCUCUAUGUAGAUGCGGUUCCAUUGAGGAUCACACAUUGAGUACGGUGAAGCGAUGAUGCCUAGGGAAUGAUCAGGUGCUUAAGGUUUGCCUAGAAUUAUAUACAGAAAAAACAGCUGGAGAUGAAGAAGCCACAAAGACAGGAUUAAAGAUUAUCUCACUAUGCAUACUGCUUCAUUGUGCAAAACUGUAUUUGCCCAGCAGAGAAGCUGUCCUUUUGAUACAAGCAGGGACAUGUCACACAAAGUGCUCAGCUGGAGUGCCUUCCGGCAAGUAGCGUCACCUACCCAGGUAAAGAGAAAGGAACAAGGAAGGGGAGAAACAAAUCCUUCCAAGCUUGCACUUUAUUUAAAUUAAAAUCUAACUUGAGAAUCAGAUUGGAUCACAAGGAAAAGUGAUGAAAUCUAUGUAGGACUGAUUGGCUUCUUUACCUAUGCUAAAGAAGCAUUGUUUUUCUUCUACUAUAGAUACCCCCAGAGAUAUGUCAGCUUUAUUAAUGAGCAAUACAUGAAGUUAUUUUAAUUUUUAGAUCUGGACAAAAGUCAUCAUUUUGAUUCUGGAAAUGGGUCCAAAAUUGCCUGUUAAAAGGAUACUAUAGACACAGGACUUUCUGUUGUACAGAAUCCUAUACCAUGAAAGGAAAAACAGACUAGUUGUGCCACUCAGUUAUCCAUUUAUCUUUUAAAAACACAAUUCACCACACAGUAUCUAUUGCAAGACAGAAGACCUCCUUCUCUAACCUUAUGAAAACAAGAUACAUAGCCAAGGACAAAGAAUGAUUUACUUCUAUGAUAGUCUAUGCCAAGUACUGUCAUAGCACAUUAUUUUAUUGGGAACACAAGCAUGACACGUUGCUACUUAAUGACUGACUCUUUCUAGUUUGUGUAGUUAAUUACCAACACAUUAAAAGGAUAAGAAUUAUUUUUAUACUUAGUAAUGGCUUUCCUCUUUGGCUCGAGCAAGCAAAUGUGACAUUAAAAACCUCUUUGUUUCUUCA